CGGAGCACAGCAGAUGCUGCUGAGGAGUUCCUGCACUGAUCAGGAUUCUCCUCAGCGUUACAGCAGGGCGCACCACAGCUUCAGCAGCUGAUACAAUUGGACCAGCAAUCCCCCUAACUACAAAUACUGUAUGUGGGCAAACAGUAGUGAUCAAGAAGGCUACAUAACAAUAAACACCCACUGGAAUGAUGUAGCACCUGAAGCAUCUUAAUCAACAUCAUCAUCAUCAUCAUCAUCAACAUCAACUGCAACAUCAUCUUUGGAAGCACCAGGGGAUCAUUAUCCUUAGAAGCACUUAGAGCAUCAUCAUCAUUUUCUCAAUAUAGAAACUCUGCACACAAUAUUCAAUGCACCUAAAAUAAGAAACAUUCCCGUAUAUGAAGGACCAAUCAUCUUUGGGACAAUGGAACAAUGAGAAUUGGUUUCAUCCGCUCAGAAGGAACAUUAUCAGAAAUGUAUACAGUAUAUGUUGUUCAGGAAGAUAAGCAUUAGUCAGCGCAAGCAAUUUUUUAAUUUCUGGCCAGUGCUGAGCACCUGCAGCAGAUGGCUCAGGUGCUGCCCAGCUCCUGCUGCCCCCGGCUAUGCGUAGCAUGAUGUCAGAGGUCAUGCUGCACAGCCUAACACCAGUUACCCGGCAAGUGAGGAGGGUGAGUGACUGCAGGCCAUGAGCUGAUUUGUUUGGGCCAAUGCCAGCCACACCGCCAGCCUGCACCAUGCACCAUGAGAGAGGAGGACUUGUCCUCUCAGUUCCUGAAGUUGCGUGGGAUGUACACCGUUGGGGAUUCAUCUACAACUUUCAGAAGCUCCAGAGUCUAAAAUAUAUGGAUUUUGCCUGGAGACACAUUCAUAGGAGCAGUGCUCAAGGACAAUUUAACAUGAGACACAUGAAAAGUAGGAUGGACAUUUCUCAUAGAUAAUGGUACUUGCAACUUCAUUGUGACUGGAGAGGGAACUGACAAAUAAAUAAAAGGUCCAAAAAAUGUAUUAGCACAUUUUGGAGAAAGAAGAA